GACUCUUUCAUUUUCACAUCUGAUCAGUGCAUCGCUGAACGAGACCACGUUCAUCUCCCCACUCUCCGCUCUCUGAAUAAUUAACUCCACUCUCUACUCUUCAAUUUAUAAUUUAUAAUCAAAUUAAUCUUUCGACUCCACUUUCUCUCCGCUGGGAAUUGAUUUUCUCCGACUUUCUUUCUUGGAAUCGCGUGUUUGCGAUCGAGGGAGCUUGCAAAGCUGUGAUUUCCAGAUUGUGCUUUCCAGUUGAGAUGUAGCUAUAUUGGAUUGGGAACCUUUGGUUCGAGAUUCGAUCAUGGUAUUUAUUAAUUUAUUAAUAAAAAGGGUUCUUCACAGGUGAUCAAUUCAUUUGGGCAUCUUUGGAAAGACAUAUAUUAGAGUGUUAUUCAAUUAUAUCUUCUACUUUACUUGGUGGAAUUAAUCAUGUGCUGACUGCAGUUCUAUUUGUGUUCUGGUUGCACCCUUCUUUUGAGAAGAGAAUGCUGCAUAUUUAGCAAUGGCAGUUAUAUCAAGAUUGGAUUAGCAGAACUGGAACAUUGGUGCUACAAAGAAACAAAUGAGGAUUGCCCAAGGCCAGUGAUAGCACAAUAUUGUAAAUGAGGUAAAUGUCCUUAAAAGCAGAACUGGAACAUAGGUGCUACAAGAAAACAAAUGAGGUAAUAUUUAGCAACGGCAGGGAUGACAAGUAUGGUACACGUAGCCUUUCCCCAGAUGUAAUAUCUGCCCUGAGGAUGUUAAUGACUGAAGAUUCAAACAAUGCUGCCAGUAGUUCUUUUUUGCUUGAAAAUGAUUCAAGGUUAAAGAUAAGACAGUGAAAUGCAAUCACAGUUGUCAUUACUUCAAUUUGUUCUAUUUCUGAUUAAAAAUGUGUCCUGCAACUGAGUGAGACUACUACAUUAUUGUUUCUUCGCCUUGCAUCUCCGGUACACACCACUACAUCGAUUCUUCACUAUAGUAACUCUAGGACCCAGGUUUUGGGACCUCCUCGAAGGGGACCUGCCAGUCAAGUCUAUUUAUGAGACCUUCUCAAUGGUGGGUGUUUUGUGCAGACAUAUUUGUUAUUGUAAUAAAUAACUAUGUAAUACUUUUUUUUAUUAAUAAGAUUGAAUUGAUGGUUAAUUUUUUCUA